AUUGAACGCUGGCGGCAGGCCUAACACAUGCAAGUCGAGCGGGGUUUUCGGACCUAGCGGCGGACGGGUGAGUAAUGCGUAGGAAGCUGCCCGAUAGAGGGGGAUACCAGUUGGAAACGACUGUUAAUACCGCAUAAUGUCUACGGACCAAAGUGUGGGACCUUCGGGCCACAUGCUAUCGGAUGCGCCGACGUGGGAUUAGCUAGUUGGUGAGGUAAUGGCUCACCAAGGCGACGAUCUCUAGCUGGUUUGAGAGGAUGAUCAGCCACACUGGAACUGAGACACGGUCCCGACUCCUACGGGAGGCAGCAGUGGGGAAUAUUGGACAAUGGGCGCAAGCCUGAUCCAGCCAUGCCGCGUGUGUGAAGAAGGCCUUCGGGUUGUAAAGCACUUUCAGCGAGGAGGAAGGGUGGUGUGUUAAUAGCACAUCAUUUUGACGUUACUCGCAGAAGAAGCACCGGCUAACUCUGUGCCAGCCGCCGCAGUAAGAC
rnacentral:rRNA from 1 species